UUUUUUCCUUUUUUGGCUAUAUACUGUGCUUGCAUGUCUUGCCCACUGUGUAUCAUCCAGGCUCUGUACUGAGAUGGGGAUAAGGGUGUUGAACUCUCUUGAGCGACUUAUCUUCCCUGUGCUCCAAAUAGGACAAGAAGUAAUAACAUCACAAGCAACCCUUAGGAAGAUUAUUAAUGAUUUGCUUCAGGCAGUAGUACGAAUCUGUGGCAAGGACAGGAGAGGUUUUGUAUCCCAGAUCUCUGCAGCACUGCUUCAUUGUUCAUCAGUGCACAGCUUCUUUACACAGUGAAUGAAACUCUCUGUGGACUUGCUUUUGAGUCCUUAAGUAAUGCUCUGCCACUCUCUAAAAGAAAAAAAGGGAAGAUCUGUGUACAAAAUACAGCUUUUAGUUACAUAAGGAGUAAUGGCAUCAUAAUGAACAUGCGCAAGAGCUUGUAAUUAAGGCAGCAUAGAAAUUCCUUAUUACUGCAUAGUCUUCCUUAUUACUGAGAGAUCAGCAAUUUAAUCCUGUGGCAUUUUGUUGCGGAUUUUUGUUUUGUUUUGUUUUUAGAGAAGUAAGCAAUAGUAGAAGGAGGGAGAAAAUAAAUUCCACCCCAAAAUGAAGAGUUUAUUAGACUUUUUAACAAUAUAAACUGCACUCCUGAUAUUCCCCUUUAAGUCUCUCUCCACCUUCAGCCUAUCCUAUCUUGGAAACUAUAGUGAGGGAAAGAGUUAGGAGCCAAAUUAGUUCAUCCUCUGGGGACACCUUAUCUUUUAAGGCUAUCUUUAAGCAUUACAGAGGGACAAUCAAGUUCUAGAGGAGCAAAUUUUGCCCCCCUGCAAAGGAUUCCAUUGUCCUAGUGUCAAGCAGCAUCUCCAGCCAUGUGUGUUAUGAUCUACCUAUGCAUCUCAAUGCCCUAACUUCCCUUAAGUUCCUUCUAUGUUUUCACCUGGAAGCACAAUGCCACUAUCAUACCGAAUGGGUGCAUUUGGCCUAGCAGCUGUAAUUCACUGACAUUAUCACAGAAGAGCUGCCCUGUAGCAACUGCCUUUAGGCAGAUUCUUAUUUAGAGUAAAGCAAGGUAAUAAAACUUUAUUUACAUCUAAAAGGAAAAAGAAAGCUAUUUAUGGCUUGUGUCCCAGGACAGGAGCCCAGCCUGGAGAAGGCAGCCUGUAAUUACUGGAGAAAGGGGAGGAUCGAUCUGGUGGUCCCUUCAAAUGCAGAUAAAAAAGGAUAAAAAAGGCAGUGAGCCACCUCAGCUGGUGGGACCUACUUUGGACAUGGAGAAUUACAGGGUGCCUGUCUCUAGGAUCGUUCGGUAUGAAAGUCCAGGGUAGGGGAAAGCUUAUUCCCUGUC
rnacentral:lncRNA from 1 species